rnacentral:lncRNA from 10 species
CCUCUCUAGCUUGUCCACAUAGCCUGCCCACGUCCACAGAGGAGAGGCCCAUAACCAGGGUGUUGUCAACAGCACAGCACCUUCAGAACUACAGGGGAUACAGGACAUUGUCAUGAAUUGAGGGAAGAGAAAAUGUGUAACUACAUUAACCCAGGUGCCUGCCUUGGCCUCCCAAAGUGCUGGGAUUACAGGUGUGAGCCACCACACUCAGCCACUUAUACCUUCUUGACCUUAACAUACACUAGUCUCUGCCUGGAAAGACAUCCCCAUACCCCCAGGUCUUCUGGCUAAUUCUCAUUUAUUCUGAGAUGCUACAGAAUGUGUAUUGUCUUGCCAAGCUUCGCAUCUCACAUCCAUUGCACUUGUCUGUUACUCAUCUGCCUUCUUCACUUGACUGUGAGCAUCUUGAAGAAUGGGACUGUGCUGUUACCUUUUUAUUCUCAGCACCAGCCCAAUCACUGCAACUUAAUAAAUGUUAAGAUUUUUAUUAAUCAAUGAAUAAAUGUAGAAAAAAUGCUAAAGCCAUAAACAUAUCAAACAGAAAAAUGAAGGCAUAUCAUAUCUAACAAGAUUAGGAAGCAUGAGAAAAACUUUUUUCAAUGACUUACUUGAAUAUAUUUUAAAAAUCUUAUAGACCCUAAUAAGAUCCUGCUUUAGCGAACACAGCAGUAAUUGAAACAGACGACGCUCCUGACGUUCAUACAGAUUACAUUCUUUUCGAGGUACACAGACAAUUAACAAAUAUAGAAUAUAGUGUCAAGUAGUGAUAAGCAUUAUGAAAAAAAUAAAGCAAGAUCAGGGUUGGCGGGGGAUUAUGACUACAUAAAAAAGCAAUUUAAAACUUCUCUAGGGAGGUGACAUUUGAGCAGAGACCUGAAUGAAGAAAUGCAUAGAGCCAGUUGACGAUCAGGAGGAAAAGCAAAGCAGAAGGAGCCAAAAGUGAAAAGGCCCAGAAUCAGGAAUUUGGGGUACAAGGAAUUCUGGUGCCAAAACUGAACAUUCUAUCUCCAGAAAUAUGUAUUUUAGGGGGGGGCAGUCUUAAAGGCUUUUCUUUUUCACAUUUUUCUAUUAAAAGUCAACCACCAUUAGCAGCAGUGACAGUUUAAGUAAGAAUUAACAAGCUGCAGAGAAUGAAACAAGGGUAAGAAGGCGAAGUGGAUUGCUGAGCAGGUCCCCAAAAGGGAAGGCCAAAGCGCACUAAGCCUUGCCCAUGUCACUGCUGUCCCUACACUGGUUCUGGGUAGAGACAGUGAUGUGUUGAGAUGACCUAUGUAAAGGUGAGAUGGGAAGAAGGUGGUAUUACUGCCUGCUUCCUCUCCUCCCAAUUGCACACACCCUUUCUCUUCCCACUUCAUCCAAUUAGAAAGCAUCCUUUAAACAACAUGAGGGACAGUAAAAACAAGGAUUGGUAACCUCUGGGAUGGUAUUAGUCGCUGGAAAGAAAAUUGAAAAAUCAAUUCUGUUUGACUUGGAGCAAAUCAUCUUGCUAUGGCAAGAUAGGAAAAAUAUGGUCUUUAGGAGUCCAAGUGGCUGUUGAGUUCAUAGCAGUGACUUUGCCACUGAUACCACUUAGCAGUGGCAGUAAGUAACAGGAUGUUCAAUAAUACAGGCUCAGGAGGCUAGGAUCACUGAUCCUGUGAAGUAAGAAAAUGUACAGCUCUUUCAGACACUUGGAAAAAUCAACAGAGCCACAAGAGCCAGAUAAAGAAGAUGACAGCUCUGCCCAACAGCAGAGACAUAGGAACAUUAGCCAGGAAAAUGCAUCACAGAAGAAAAGUGGCUUCCUGUGAAUGCAGGUGCAAUGAUCAAAUUAAGCUUCCUACUUUAUGUGUUAAGAGAAACAUAGCUCAGCAUCUAGAGUCCCACCACAUACAAAGCAUCUGAGAAUGCCCAAAGUGUGUUCUAACUUAUUUCAUUUCAUCCUUACAAGCAGUUACUCAGGUUGUCACUCAUACUUUGCAGAUAAGGAAACUGAGGCUCAAAGUCAUAUUAACAAGUGGUGCAGCAAAAGCAGACACCUUGGUCCUCUGGUUUCCAGUCUCAGGUGGCCCUCACCCAGGAUGUGAUUCCAGCAGGUGGAGAACUCUCCACCUUCUCAGUUCCUCUCUCUUCUAAACAGCUCACCCUCAGCCUUGUUUCUUUCAUCCUCUUCUGCUUUAUAAGUACCCUAGCAGCAGGGGGUUUGAUGAGCUUGGGCAGUAGGAUUAGACCGUCUGGGUUUAAAUCCUAGUGCUACAAAUUACUAACCGUGUGACAUUAACCAAAUUGUUUAACCCUGCUGUCUUUCUGCUUCCUCUUCUGUAAAAUGAGAAUUAUAAUAGUACCUCAUAGUGCUUAAAGCAGUGCCUGUCCCAUAGGAGAGCCCAGUAAAGUUUGCUAUUGAAAUUAUAUUCCUUUCCCCAUCACACUUCACAAACCCUUGUUGACUGUCCCCUCUGCUUGCCAGUUCCUCCUUUUCCUGCUUACUUUUUCUGCCCCAACCUUUUCCUCCAACACCCCACCCCACCCCACUCACACACACGCACACCUUGCCCUCAGAAACAACUUGCUCUCUUUUUUCUCCCUUUCCAUGACUUCUGUGUUCUGCCUGCCAGCUAUACCUGCUUGCACAGCCUCCACUAUCAGUCUCUAGGAUGGGCCCAGCAUUCCUGCACCUGCCCCUGCUGCCCUUGAAGCUGUGUGGACUGGUUGAGGCCCUGAAACUUCUUGGGGACAGAUAGUUCAAAAACACAUUCUGUGAAACUGCUCCAGAAUGGAGAGCAGAAGGGCUUUGCUGAAAGAUUGCAGAAAUCAGAGAACACGGAGAUUUAUAGCAGGUGCUGCUUUCUUAGAGGCCGAGGACCCGGGAAUGCCUCAGGAAUAACAAUGAGCUCUCUCCUAAGCUCCUAUCCUUACACGAUUGCUUGGAUGCAGGUGAAAUCUAUGCCAGCUGGUGUUUCAGGCUAAUUAAAAGCAUGUUCACCUGCCUUAUCCAUAUAUACUCUGCCCCUUCCUACUAACCCAGGCCAGAAAAAUAGUUUUCCCUUGAAUCAGUCCUCUCUUCAUCAGAAUAGAUCUCCAUGCCCCAUCCCCACCCCCGCCCCCCACCACACACACACACAUACUCUUCCCUGACUGUCUUCAGGGCCCAGACAUUCUGUAUAGAAGAACCAUGCCACUGAUGACCCAGAUUGUGGAAGGUGACGAGUCAGUCAUACCCAAAUUGACUUUGAAAAUGCCUUGAUUCAACUAACUAUCUAAGAAAAUAACCCAAUUCUUUUCUAAAAGAUAAAACAUCUAAAAAGUAAAACUAUCUCACAUUUCUCUCUCUCUCUCUGUAUAUAUAUAUACACACAUAUAUAUACACACACGUGUAUGUGUUUGUGUGUGUGUGCGUGUGUGUGUAGUAUGAAGACUUUUAAAGUACAAGUCCUUGAAAUUUACUCAGCUCCCUUUGCAUCUUACAGCAUGGAUUAUUGCAAAAAUCAAGAUGCAGACAAAAUGGCAAAUCUGAGAAGAGAUGGACAGGCAAAAUGGAGCACAACGGAGUCACUACUGCUACGUCAGUGUGGAGUCGCACCUUGAGCCAUAGUGUUACUUAACCAUGUUCCUUGAUGGCACACAGAAUGUUAUACUGUAAUAUAGAUGUAAAUAUUAAUAUAAUAUAGAAGCAUAUAGUAUAUAUAUCAUACUGUAAUAUAGAAAUAAAUAUUAUACUUCUGGAAUUCUGGAAAUAGUUCUGUCUGUGAUGUCAUCGGAAAAAAAAACUUGAGGGCUGAGCUAUUUGUCCUCAGUGCCUAGGUUCUGUGGAACCCAGCACAGUGACUUUCAUCCCUGUGAAACCUCAACAAAACACUAGCGAAGGGUGGUCAUUCCCAGUUAUAUAAAGAUCUUUGAUGAUGAUAGGUACACCGGGGUUUCCAACUCAAAUAGUGCACAAGUGAGGAAAUAAUAAUAAAUAUAAGUAAAGUGGGCCAGGUAGAACUACAACAAGCUGGAGUACUCACAGCCCUUAUAAGGGCAGAGUCGCUAUCUGUACCAGCUGAUUGUUGCUAUGUGGAAAUGCAAGCCUAAAGCGCCAAAUACUCUGUUUUUUCCAAAAGAAGUGGGAAAUAGCCUGUAAGUGUCAAAACUAAUUCAACUUUUAAAAGAUCUCCAGGCAGCUCAAACAAAACCUAUCUACAGAUCCCCAGUUUGCAACCUCCUACCAUAAAAGGUCCAUGAGCUUGGUUUAAUGCAGGGUGAAGUUACUUAUCACCUUGGCAUCUCUAUUUGUCUAUCCAAAUAAUAGAGAUAACUAUAAUUCCUUUCUCAUAGCAUUGUUUGAGAAAUAAAAUGUGUUACUACAUGGUAAGCAUUUGCACUGUCUCAUUUUAUGCAUUUUUGUUAUUAAAAAUU